rnacentral:hammerhead_ribozyme from 1 species
AUCCAUCUGACGAAUGCCAAAUAGGACUAAAUGUGCGUCAAACUGCAU